CAAAUGUAUUGGUGGUUGCCUAUCGGAGGUACAAACUUAAAUUUUUGUAGUUUAUGAUUUUAAAAAUUGCCUUAUUUUUUAAACUACAUCUACGUUUCGGAAAACAGUUAUAGAUUUUAGUCUUAAUUCUUGUCAAAAUUCUACAACUACCUGUUUCCCAGUUAGGUCACAAACUGUUUUUUUUUUAAGUGAGGUUAUGUAACCGCUGUUUAACAAGGAAUAAAAUUGCUCAAGAAAUAAGGGGCUAGUUUCCAACAACAGAAACUCACAAACGGAGAAGUGGUAAAAAUGUUCGACCAAAAGCAAAAUCCAAAAAAGUACAGAGGGAACAGGAACAAACAGUACUCUACAUUAUGUACCUUUGAAGAAAAAAAUAAGUUUCUAAUGACUAAACGGUCCGUGCACCUUGGGUCAACACCAAAUGAUUAGAAGUCUGAACCACCGUUUCAACUUUUUUCCCAAUGCCUUUAAAACUCUACAACUCGAACCAACUUGGUUCAUUUGAAACAAUAUGCUUAAACUUUCCUUCAUUUUCAACUUUAUUGUUUUAUUCUACCCAGCUCUACCAAACCGAACAUCCAAAUUUUUUGGUGUCGGUUUGGUUCGUUUCGAAAAUAGCGUAUGCACCUCAGCUAGCAACAAUCUUGGCACGUGCUACACCCGCUGGCAGUGCCAAAACGUAGACGGCGUUGGAUCUGGCUCUUGUGCCCAAAACAUCGGCGUCUGCUGCGUCAUAACUCGCCAAUGUGGCGAAACCACAAGAUACAACAACACCUACUUCAGCAACGACGAAUUCCCCAACCCUUCAACAGACGGAACCACUUGUACUUUAACAAUCCAAAAAUGCAACGAUGAUAUUUGUCAAGUACGAAUUGACUUUCUCAACUUAAAUCUAGCCCAACCGAACCCGCAAGGCAUUUGCGACACUGACGCCCUCACAAUCACAGGAGGCGCAGCCCCUGUCCCUAUAAUUUGUGGCGAAAACACCGGCCAACACGUUUACGUCGAUUUUAACGGAAACAACACCAUCCAAUUAACUGUAAUGACAUCAAGUGGUGAUAGCAUUGGGAGAAACUGGAAUUUUUUAAUCACUCAAAUCGCCUGCGAUUGUCCGACUCGAGCCCCCAUUGGCUGUCUCAUGUACUACACGUCCUUGUCUGGCACUGUUAAUAGCUUCAACUACGGCACUUCGACCAAUGAAAUUGACCCAAUGACUGGACUUCCCGGCACCCGGGAAUUGGUUAACGAAAAUUACGGUGUUUGUAUUGCCAUGGUUCCCGGUUACUGUUCAAUCGAAUGGAGCGCUGCGUCUGGUAAUUCUUUUGUAGUGUCUGGCGAUGUGGGGGCUUUAGGAAUGGUCAGCUUGACUGGAACUGACUGCAAUUCCGACUUUGUGGUCAUUCCGAACCCGUCGUACGUUAACGGAACGGCAGUUAAUUCGGAUCGCUUCUGUGGUACGGCUUUCCCGUCAGUUGUUACGAGUUCUAAACCGUUCGUUCUAACGGUUGUAACAAACGGGAAUGAAGUUAAUGAUACACAGAAUCGGGGAUUUUCGCUUAAUUUUAUGCAAAGGAGGUGUUCCACUAUUACUACAUAAUUGUUUAUUUGCCGAAUAAAUUGCCAGUGCCUGAGCAUUGGUUUUGGGUGUACAUUAGGGAGAAUCCACGGUUGGCUUCGUCAGUGGGCGGGAUGUCGGUGCCGUCAGUCACCACAGUCAGGACAAAUGGUUUGGAUGAAGCUAAAUUUGUACUUAAUUUUUCACUCCGAAAAAUUCAAAUGCGCUGGUGCAAUCUGUUUAUUUUCUAAGUGACUUACUUGUAACUGAAUUGAACCCAUUCCCGCAAAACCGGUCAGUGUUAGGUCCCACUAAACUCGAAUUCACAUAACUCGGGUUAGGAAUAACCACAAAAUCUGUGGUACAAUUCCCAUUUGAAAGAGCUGAAGGAGGCCCAAUGGUACCAUUCCCCACCGCUUGGUUCGUAUUCCCCGUCACCGUAAACGCAUACAUGUCCCCCGGAGAGGUCCCCCAGGUGAUGGAGCAAUACCCAGGUUGCAUUUCCACACAAACCCCAUAAUUCUCAUUCGCCAGUUGCCUUGUCCCCGUCUGUGGCCCAGUGGUACCAUAAUUAAAACUUCUAACAGUGCCACUUAAGGCAGUGUAGUACUGUAAACACCCGGUGGGCGCUUUCGUGGGGCAGUCGCAGCCAAUUUGCGUGAUUUUGAAGUUCCAAGCCCUGGAGGCGGCGGUGGCGGCGGCGUUGGUGUUGAGCACGAGUUGGAUGUCGCUGUCGCCGUUAAAGUCGACGUAGAUGUGUUGUCCGCUGUUCUCGCCGCAUAACACCGGCACGUUGGAGGCGCCGCCAAUGACGUAGAAGGCAUCAGUGGUGCAGGUGCCGUUGGCGUCGGGUUGGGCCAAGGAGAAGGCGAGGAAGUCGAUGCGGAUUUGGCAGAUGUCGGGGUUGCACUUGGGGAUGGUGACCGUGCAGGUGGAGCCCCCAGGAUAAGGUGUAGGGAAGUUGGGGCUGGUGAAGUAGGUGUUGUUGUAGGAAGAGGAGCCCCCGCAGGUUAUUUGAACUCAAACGCCGAUUCCUUUGGCACAUGGGCCUGCCCCAACUCCGCCUAUUUCGUUGCAUUGUCUUCGGGUGUAGCAAGUGCCUUCAAAACCGUCAGCACCUCCACAGACCGAAUUUUCAAAUCGGACCAGGCCAAUUCCCCAGCCAAGUGGAAAAACUUGACAAAAAUUACAAAAUUAAUGCUUUUUUGCUACAAACGACGAUGAUAUAAUUUAUUUAUUUAGAAAUUUUUAAAUUUAUUUAAUUAACGAUGUAAAUUCUCGCAAUUUAAAAAAAUGUAGGCAACCAACUAUACAAGGAUGAAUUUUGUAGGUUGCGGUUGCCUAUCUUUUAAUUUGUAAUUUUUUAGGAAAUCUUUACAUUUUAUCUCUUUCAUUUCAUCUAUAAUAUAAUUAAAUUAAAUAGUUUUGCAAAACUUUAAAACUAAAAUGUGUAUAACAAUCACAGGAACACGAUUUUAAUAAAAUUAUUUAAACAGUAA